UGACCUAGCCAGGCCAG
rnacentral:rRNA from 1 species